rnacentral:rRNA from 1 species
UCGAACGCUUCUUUCCUCCCGAGUGCUUGCACUCAGUUGGAAAGAGGAGUGGCGGACGGGUGAGUAACACGUGGGUAACCUACCCAUCAGAGGGGGAUAACACUUGGAAACAGGUGCUAAUACCGCAUAACAGUUUAUGCCGCAUGGCAUAAGAGUGAAAGGCGCUUUCGGGUGUCGCUGAUGGAUGGACCCGCGGUGCAUUAGCUAGUUGGUGAGGUAACGGCUCACCAAGGCCACGAUGCAUAGCCGACCUGAGAGGGUGAUCGGCCACACUGGGACUGAGACACGGCCCAGACUCCUACGGGAGGCAGCAGUAGGGAAUCUUCGGCAAUGGACGAAAGUCUGACCGAGCAACGCCGCGUGAGUGAAGAAGGUUUUCGGAUCGUAAAACUCUGUUGUUAGAGAAGAACAAGGACGUUAGUAACUGAACGUCCCCUGACGGUAUCUAACCAGAAAGCCACGGCUAACUACGUGCCAGCAGCCGCGGUAAUACGUAGGUGGCAAGCGUUGUCCGGAUUUAUUGGGCGUAAAGCGAGCGCAGGCGGUUUCUUAAGUCUGAUGUGAAAGCCCCCGGCUCAACCGGGGAGGGUCAUUGGAAACUGGGAGACUUGAGUGCAGAAGAGGAGAGUGGAAUUCCAUGUGUAGCGGUGAAAUGCGUAGAUAUAUGGAGGAACACCAGUGGCGAAGGCGGCUCUCUGGUCUG